UACGAGGGGUGCAAGCGUUGCUCGGAAUUAUUGGGCGUAAAGGGUAGGUAGGUGGUCUCGUUUGUCUAGGGUGAAAGCCUUGAGCUUAACUCAAGAAGUGCCCUAGAAACGGCGAGACUGGAGUCUUGGAGAGGGUCGUGGAAUUCCCGGUGUAGCGGUGAAAUGCGUAGAGAUCGGGAGGAACACCAGCGGCGAAGGCGACUACCUGGCCCAUUCUUGACGCUGAGGCGCGAAAGCUAGGGGAGCGAACGGG
rnacentral:rRNA from 1 species